rnacentral:rRNA from 1 species
CCUACGGGUGGCAGCAGUAGGGAAUCUUUCACAAUGGGCGAAAGCCUGAUGGAGCAACGCCGCGUGCAGGAUGAAGGCCUUCGGGUUGUAAACUGCUUUUAUAAGCGAGAAAUAUGAUGGUAACUUAUGAAUAAGGAUCGGCUAACUACGUGCCAGCAGCCGCGGUCAUACGUAGGAUCCGAGCAUUAUCCGGAGUGACUGGGUUUAAAGGGUGCGUAGGUUGUUUUUUAAGUCAGCGGUGAAAGUUUGUGGCUCAACCAUAAAAUUGCCGUUGAAACUGGAAGACUUGAGUGUGUUUGAGGUAGGCGGAAUGCGUGGUGUAGCGGUGAAAUGCAUAGAUAUCACGCAGAACUCCGAUUGCGAAGGCAGCUUACUAAGCCAUAACUGACACUGAAGCACGAAAGCGUGGGGAUCAAACAGGAUUAGAUACCCUGGUAGUC